rnacentral:rRNA from 1 species
AAACAUCUUUUCUUGUUAGUUUUUGAAGUAUGGCCUGCCCGCCGACAUUUGGUGUUGAAGGGCCGCGGUAUUUUGACCGUGCAAAGGUAGCAUAAUCAUUAGUUCUUUAAUUGUGAUCUGGAAUGAAUGGCUUGACGAGGCACGGGCUGUCUUAGUGUUGAAUGUUUUAUUGAAUUUGGUCUUUGAGUUAAAAUUCUUAGAUGUUUUUGUGGGACGAGAAGACCCUAUAGAGUUUGACAUUUGGUUUAUUUACUUGUUUGUUGUUUGUUUAUUUUUGGUGAGUGGGCUUUUUGUUUUGUUGGGGUGAUGGGAGGAAUGUACUUAACUCCUCUUAGUUUUGGUUAUAUUGAUUUAUAGUUGUUUGAUCCAUUUAUUUUGAUUGUAAGACUAAAUUACCUUAGGGAUAACAGCGU